rnacentral:lncRNA from 10 species
UGAAGAUGUGCUUGCUUCUCCUUCACCUCCACCAUGACUGUCUUCAAAGAUAUCAUUAACUUCAGGGCUCUGAGAUGAGGUAAUUCUGGAUUCUGGAUUAUAUGGUGGACCCUAAAUCCAAUAUAAAUAUCCUUGGAAGAAACAUAAAAAGUAAAGACACACAAACACACAGAAGAGAAGCAACGUGAAGAUGAAGCAGAUAUUGGAGCCAUGUGACCACAAGCCAAGAAACUCCAAAGUGCACCUGGAGCCACCAAAAGCUACAAACAGGGAAGGAAUGGAUUCUUCCCCAGAGCCUCCAGAGGCAGUACAGCCCUGAUUAUGUCUUUUCCCUUCUGCUUUUUUGCCAUCGAUAUCUAAAGUUGUCUCCUGCUCUUCUCUGCUGAUUUCUCAGUCAGCCACACCCAAGUUAAACCCAUGACCCACUUUAUCUACAUUUGGGGACUUUUAUGAAAUUGUCAAUUAGCAUAUUAUAAAGGACUCAGACUAUUUACCCUGCUGGUAACUUUAAAAACUUGUUACAUGCUACAAAAUAUUAUAUUUUAUAGUAGUGAGUUAUCAUUGUCUGGAAUUAAAGAAUUUUCCUAAAACCUUAUAAAUCCGAACUUCAUUUUAUGCUACAACAAGUUAGCAGGAUAUUAACUUUAAUGAAUUUUGAAUCUCUAAUUAUUUUAGUUUCUUUGUCUUGUGAGACCAUAAUUUUUGCAGUUUUCCCUUAUG